ACGCUAUAUUUAAUAGUUUAUUAUAUUCGUAUAAAACAAGUUAAUCGUCAUGCGUCUUGUAAUAACCAAUAUUCUACUAGUUAUUAUGGUGGUUAUAGUCUCCACGGGAGAUCAUCGUCCUUACAGUUACCUCUACACUAAAUAUCCACCACCAGAUCCCUGUAGAGGCGUCAGAUGUUCGUUUGAUGCCACGUGUAGAAAGGGUAAAUGUUUAUGUGGAAAUGUGACUUGUUCUAGCGGUGCCAUAUGCAUCAAUGGUGCCUGUGAAUGUCCAGGGUAUUAUUUUGGUACCACUCCAAACUGUUCAAUUCCUGAAAGAUGUAGCAACUGUCAGAAGAAUGAAACAUGUACCUCUUUUAGAUUUGUACCAGAGGAAGGCGCUCGGAAUCGAUGUAACGACUACGUGACAUGUGACGGACCAAGAGGAUCCUGUCCAUUUAUAGGCUGCCUGGACGGAGGAAUAAGAUGUAUAGACAACUAUUGUAUUUGGCAUGGCCCUUCUUUCUCCUACUUUUUUGGUGUAUGCAACAGGGGAGAGUCGUGUUAUGUUGGGAGUAUCUAUGUGUGUAAUGAUGACUCUGACUGUGGUUAUGUUGGUAAUUGUACAAGAGGAUGUUGUGAAUAUGGCAACAGUUCAAUAUACGGCUGUGACAUAUCGUAUGCAACAGAGGUGUGCGAUGGCCUUUGUACAGGAUACUUUUAUAAUCAACCCCAGUGUAUCCUUACAAGUCAUUUACGCAUCUUCUUUGUGGAACCAGGACUCCAUCUUACUGGUAGUGAAAAUUAAAUAAAUGCAUUUGUUAAUGGC